CCUACGGGUGGCAGCAGUGAGGAAUAUUGGUCAAUGGGCGGAAGCCUGAACCAGCCAAGUCGCGUGAGGGAUGAAGGUUCUAUGGAUCGUAAACCUCUUUUAUAAGGGAAUAAAGGGUGGGACGUGUCCGAUUAUGUAUGUACCUUAUGAAUAAGGAUCGGCUAACUCCGUGCCAGCAGCCGCGGUAAUACGGAGGAUCCGAGCGUUAUACGGAUUUAUUGGGUUUAAGGGGUGCGUAGGCGGCCUUUUAAGUCAACGGUGAAAGUCUGUGGCUCAACCAUAGAAUUGCCGUUGAAACUGGGGGGCUUGAGUAUGCUUGAGGCAGGCGGAAUGCGUGGUGUAGCGGUGAAAUGCUUAGAUAUCACGCAGAACCCCGAUUGCGAAGGCAGCCUGCCAGGCCAUGACUGACGCUGAUGCACGAAAGCGUGGGGAUCAAACAGGAUUAGAUACCCGAGUAGUC
rnacentral:rRNA from 1 species